AAGAAGUGAAUUCAAUGUUGUAGAUCAGCUUCUCCAGACUCCGUCAAAGAUCUUCGUGUUGUCACUACUGAUGAAUUCUGAAGCGCGUAGAGAAGCUUUAUAGGAAGUGUUGGAACAUGCCUAUAUUGAGCAUAAUUUGAUUCGCUGUCGCACACUGGUCAAAAACGAGUUUAAAUAUGUAGUAAAAUGAAAGCGACGCUCGAAUGUUGUAUCACAAUGACUCUUGAAUGUUAUAACCAAACGAAUGAAAAGAAGG
rnacentral:lncRNA from 1 species